rnacentral:rRNA from 1 species
GACGAACGCUGGCGGCGUGCUUAACACAUGCAAGUCGAGCGGUAAGGCCCUUUCGGGGGUACACGAGCGGCGAACGGGUGAGUAACACGUGGGUGACCUCGCCCUCAGCUCUGGGAUAAGCCCGGGAAACGUGGGUCUAAUACCGGAUAUGACUCCAUGACGCAUGUUGUGGGGUGGAAAGCCUUGUGCGGCUGAGGAUGGGCCCGCGGCCUAUCAGCUUGUUGGUGGGGUGAUGGCCUACCAAGGCGACGACGGGUAGCCG